rnacentral:lncRNA from 1 species
AAUCUUUUGGAUAUUGUUCACACAGAUGUGGCGUGAAGUGAGAAAAAAAGCAGUAAAACGUGUUAAAAGCAUAAUUAAUGUCAUUGUUGUGGAGGAAGAUUUGAUUUAAACCCCUCUGACUUCUGUAUUGGUGACGGCUGAUUUCUUUAUCGCGCACAUAGAGUCACUAGGUACCGACCCGAGCUUCAGAACGCUAACUUGUUAACUGAGUGAUUAGUUAAAAGACAGGGAGAAAAAAGGAAAAGACAAAGAAAGAGCAAGUGAGAGGGCAGGCAGAGGAACACUGCUGAGGAGAUGAGAAGCGAGAGAAGAGGGGUAAUGAUCGGACCUGCUCAUCAGUCAACGCAAGGAUUCAGUACUUUGCGCCCGAUCGCAUUUAGCAGGGUUGAAUAACCCAGAGCCCGAUGACAUCAGGACCUAAGAGCUGCUGACUCUGCCUGGAGCGCUUUGUGUCCUGCAUCCCUGAGCCACGAGAGCAUCCUUACUUCCCUGGGAGGUCACAGGUCCUAGGGACUUUGGUUUGUCUUGGCUAACAGUCUCUCGUGUGGCCAUAUUGAAACUUACUGAGCCCCUGCCGGACACUGGGCUUCUGGGUGCUCAGGGGAUGUAGCUUAUUGGCACUGCUCUUUAGACCUGAGGACAAGGAAGAAAACUUGGGAAGAAAAUAUGCUGUAGUGACGUAUUGGCCACAAACCCAUGAUCAGUGGUCAGAAAAAAUGGGACUAUUUUUCUCUCGUUUUUGCUCCUUUAUUUGCUCAUCUACUAAAUAUCUUCUCAUAUGUUAUGAGCCACUUCUGUUUAUUCUUUUGUAAGUCACUGAUUUGUAUGUCCUUUCUGUCAGAGGGUAAAUCAUUUUCUUGUUGAUUUGUAGAUGCUCUUUGUAUAUUAAGGAUAUUUACCUUUGUGCUGGUGCACAUUUCAUGUCUUCUCCCCUAGUUUGCCUUUUGUUUUUUACCUUUGUGAUAAUGUCUCGUAUAUAGAACAUAGCAAGUAUUCAAGAAUCAUUUGAAGAAAUAGAGAAUCUUAC